rnacentral:lncRNA from 10 species
UAAGGAUCUAAGCAUCUAGCAUUUCCCCUGCUUGCCUGUACUCCAUCCUGCCACCCUGUGAAGAAGGUUCCUGCUUCUCCUUUACCUUCUGCCAUGACUGUACUAUAGUAGGGACUGGAAAUUCAACGUGAAAAAAAGUUAAAUCUCUGCUGCCUUAAAAUAAUCAGAAUGUAAGGAGAAAAUGUUUUCAGCUGGAACUUAAAUAGACCGGCCACAAAUAACCCGUAAUUCUCUAUAAAUGGACUGUCAUGCUGAGAACAGCUUUAUGCCACGCUGAUCCUAGCUCCACAAGAGCCGGCUAAGCUACACUUACCCAGUAGCAGGUCACACUCCAGAGCCCACUGGAUUCUUGCUGACACAAUAAGUACGCUUCCAGCUGGGGCCAAGAACAAUCUGGACUCAGGCAGAGUGUGAAUUACAGUGAAGAGCUACCACCCUCCUAACCACAGCCAAUCAACAGAAAAUAAACACAGACACUGAAGAGUCCAGACACAUGGAAAGCCCUUUUCAUUAAGAGAAAUGACUUGAAAAGAAAACCAGACAUAUGUCUAAGGAUGUUUUUCAUGAUCUCAUCGAAGCCACUCCAAUGAGGAAAGAAACAGAGAAUGCUGGUCCUUUUUCAUCCAGCAUGAGCAAUAUGAACUUGAAUAAAGGUAAUGUGCCAAGGAUUCAAAUAAACACACUUUCUUGUAUCUGCCCUACAAAUGCAAAGUUCUCUCCAGGCUUUGAACUUAAUCCAGCAGUAGGCAGG